GAAGAAGAAAAAAAAAAAGCCACAGCGAAACGACUGCUGGGGAAUGCUGCACAGCACAAAGGCUGAGCCAAUCCUUCGCUUAGUGCUACCAGGCCUAACAGAUGUGUUGAGUGCACAGAUCUGGGUUGCAGCAAGCAUUAAUUUGUCCUACUGACUUCCUGUGAGGGUUCGGUGUCUGCAGCGGGGCGUGAUGCUGCACCACGCGUACAGAAGCAGAAAGCUACACCAGAGCUACAACUUGGCUCUUCUGGCAAUGCAUAGCCAGACCUCUUCAGGAUCAGAGCUGGACAAGGAAGCGAUCAAAAGCAGCAAACAAACCUAAAUUAAAAUUGGAAUGAUGAAGCCUAUAAGACUUUGCGUUAAUCCUGCAUGUUGUGCCUCCAGACAUCUGUCAGCCCCCAUAUACAGCCAAUUCUCAGGGCUAGCUGUGGAUAGAGGAAGAAAUGUGCCACUUUACAAAUACUGCCAGCAAGAGCCUUGGAAUUAUCUUCUACAAGGACAAAAACAUGAGAGGUAGGACCAUAGUCAAAGAGCUGCACUUAGGCUGAGAUGAAAACUGUUUCAGUAGCUGAGCUGAAGAAAUGACGCUCACUUUCACCUUUGCCGCAUCACUGCACUGUUCACUACCGGGAAAUGGAGGUGGCAUUCAGACCAGCCGCUCUGCUGGAAGAUGUUGCUGUGGGGUCAUUACUGGCAGUGAGUUGGCACUUAGUGAUGGUGAACUCUGUACUAACUUCUGCCACAGAGAAUCAGAGACAUUUGGCAGAAUCACCAAGGUUGGAAAAGACCUCCAAGAUCCUCUAGUCCAACUAUCCACCUACAACUGCUGGGUGAGAACAGGCAAUAAUUUGAAUUGUAUGAGGUUAACUGCUAGACAAUAACACAUGUAAUCAUUACUAUGGUUGUUAUAUGCCUUGUCAAUGGUAUUACAGUAAGAAUCACCCAGACUAAAGAAGAAAGAGUUCUGAUGGAAGCAGAACUAACUUCAGCAAGCAGUAAUCCAACACCAUGCAUCACCCCUUUCACACUGAAGGACUGUUAUAACAAGAUGGUGUCGAAAGUCAUAGACUAAAUUAACUCCAUGUACAAUUUACUGGGAUGGCCUCCCACUGGGAGGGGGAAGGGAAGUAAGCAAAAGGCUGCUUGGUGUUAAGCUGCUUGCUGGGUUAAACCACAACAGCACAUUGGAAGAAACAUACUAUCACAUGCAGUCAGCUGAAUUUACCCAGAGCUGGAAUGAGACAGGAAAAAAAAACCAUCAUUAUGGUGGUGUACGCAUCUGAGGCCAGUAACACCAAGCCAGACUAGGGGUCCCAACACUGAGGAAGCCCUUCGUGUUGAUACCUCCAGCCACAGGAAAAGGCAGUGCCUGCUUAAGUCCAGAAAGUAAAACAUUUCUGCAUUAUGGGAAGGUUUGCCCAUAGGAAAACCGAUUUGAACUCCAGAUGACAGAACUGCCUGUUCAGUAAGUCAGGAUCAAGGGCAAUGCUGUUAUCCUUCAUGUCCACUGUGACCCUCACAUUAGGACCUCCAGUCUCAGGGCAGGAUGAAGAAUAAAACUGAAUGCUAAUACUCUAAAAUGAAGUGAAAAAUCAUUUAAAAAUUCAACAUUUUCUUUUUCCUUGCCCUGCUAGCCUUCCCC
rnacentral:lncRNA from 1 species